UCCUUAGUACGAGAGGACCGGGAUGGACGUACCUCUGGUGUACCAGUUGUCCUGCCAAGGGCAUGGCUGGGUAGCUAUGUACGGAAUGGAUAAGCGCUGAAAGCAUCUAAGCGCGAAGCCAACUUCAAGAUAAGAUUUCCCACCGCAAGGGUAAGACCCCAGAAAGACUAUCUGGUUGAUAGGUCGAAGGUGUAAGUGCAGCAAUGUAUUUAGCUUAUCGAUACUAAUAGGUCGAGGACUUGACCAA
rnacentral:rRNA from 1 species